rnacentral:piRNA from 1 species
AACAAUUCAACUGAAAAUCUAGGG